GUCACAACAUUAACAGCCGUACACAGUUUAGUUCAUGUUGACUGAAUGCCAUGGUGUUGCUGACUAUUCUCACAAAUAUGCUUUGUACAGGCUGCACUCAUCUGACCAUCUGGAUUUCAGGGUGAGAGACAAUCUCAGCUGUGAUCCCUCCCAGCAGGGGUAACACCACUGGAUGAGGGUGCUGCUGAGAGAUGAGAUGUGUCCGUCCCCAGCUGGAAGGAUUUUCCUGGAUGGCACAGCAUUUUAAAAGUGGCGCUCAACACCCCCCCGCCCCCUCUCUCCAAACCCAUCUGGCCCAAGCCUGUCACCAGCAAUACAUCACAUUAAUGAAAUGGCAGCAGCCCAAUGCUAUCUGUCAUAAGCAAUCUGCAUCUGCUGAGGAACUGAACGGAAAUGAGGAAGAGGGAUAAAAGUCACAGGAAGGCAGAGAGACUUUGUGUCCCCCAAGCAGGUGCCAUGUUUGUGUGUGUGUGAGUAUGAAUGUGUGCAUUUGUGUGUUUCCUCAGUCUCUCCUUUCAGCGCAGUGUGAAAAAUAUUGAUUUUAUUUUGAGAGAAGAAAAUAGCCACAGCAGGCCACCAUAUCUCUCAUCUCUACUGGACCAAAUAGGUGAGGAUAUUUAAUCGGUUUUGCGGUAGAACAAAGUUCCAAUGCAUCUUAUCUGUCAGAGAGAAAAUGACUCACUGCACCUUGUCUUGGCACUUGGGGCAACUUGUAUUGAUAUCUGUCUCAGCUUCACAAACUGUGAAAUUUCACACAAAUGAUAAACUACACAUGGGUUGUGAAAACGUGCGCUAAGCACCUGAAGAACAGCAGCUGAAUUAGAAAAAAAGAUUCAGUAGGUUUGUGGAAAAAAUGACUUCAUUAUCUUUGACUGUAUGAACUCCAGUGCAGA